ensembl:misc_RNA Metazoa_SRP Metazoan signal recognition particle RNA
GCCAGGCAUGAGGGCUUGUACCUGUAGUCCCAGGUACUCAGGAGUUUGAGGUGGGAAGAUUGCUUGUUCCCAGGAGUUCUGGACUGUAGUGUACUAUGCAAAUCAAGUUUUCACACUAACUUCAGUAUCAGUAUGGUGACCUCCCAGGCGCAGGGGACCACCAGGUUGCCUAAUGAGGAGUGGACCAGCCCAGGUCAAAAAUGGAGAAGAUCAAACCUUCUGUUCUUGUCAGUAAUGGAAUCACCCCUGUGCAUAGCCAGUCACUCUAGUCUGGGCAACAUAGCCAGGACCCUGUCUCA